rnacentral:rRNA from 1 species
GACGUAGGGCGCGAGCGUUGUCCGGAUUUAUUGGGCGUAAAGAGCUCGUAGGCGGUUCGAUAAGUCAGGUGUGAAAACUCUGGCUCAACUCAGAGACGCCACUUGAUACUGUCGUGACUUGAAUCUGGUAGGGGAGUGUGGAAUUCCCGGUGUAGCGGUGAAAUGCGCAGAUAUCGGAAGGAACAUCAGUGGCGAAAAGCGGCUUC